UGGGUGGGUUUGCAGGACACGUCGUAAGAUGUCGCAUGUUGAUGUUUUGGUGGCGUUCCCGCCUGCUCGUCACCAGCGAGUUCGAAUACAGAUCUGAUCCGUUGUAGAAUGUAUUCAAAUUAUUUUUCGUUUUCUCAUUUUUAUUGUAGUUAUAUGUGAUACAAAUAUGGUAUCAAGGAGAUCAAGUUUUGCGCGGGAAAUUGUGGAUUUUUGGCGGGACAUGGCGGGAAAUAAAGAUGGCGACAAUUGCCUUCGCGGUUUCGGCGGUGGAUUGUUGGUGCCGGGUUUUAGACUGUUGUUUAGGGGUUUUCAAAGGGUAAUUACAAGAGUCAUGAGGUAAAACUAGUGCUUUUGUUCCUUCUCAUGAUGAUAUAACGUUUCAUGAUAGCUUUUGGUGAUGUGAAGGCUCAAUUUGAUUGAUCCUUGUGUAGACCGUUGUGAUGGUUGUGCUGGGUGCUCGGUGGACGUGAGUGACCGGGUAUUUUCUAGAUUUUCUUCAUAAGUUCAAGUUUCUUCGAGAUUUUUCUGUGAUUUAUAUAUGAUUUCUUUAUCUCUUGGUCAGUGUGUUGUGUCUCAAAGAGAGACUGUGAUGAUUAUUUCGUUGUUUCAAUUUUUUUGUGUUUGAUUUUUUGUCGUGGAUUUUUGGUGGCAAGUUGAGUGUAUUCUGAUAAUGGAAGCUUCCUAUCUGUUCAAUGUCGAUUGCAUUGAAAAUCAGUGAAUUGGUGCUAAUUUCAUGGUGGAAUAAUAGUGGUGUGUGUGAGCAAUAAAGGAUUACCUGCAAACAUUCCGGCUGAUCAGCAACUGUUGGAGACUGCAAUCAAGAAUUACCUCCCAGCAUUGCAGAUCAUUUACAGCUAUUGAAAACACCGGUGAGUUUUUCUUUUGACAUUUUAUUUUAUAAAUUGAUAUAGUCAGGAAUUAAAUCAAAAGUACAUGCAGAAGGAAAUAAGUCAUGAUAAAACAUUGAGCCAUGAUUUAUUCGUUCAAACAUCAUAAAACACAUAAGAGUGCCAAUCCUCAUAAAAAGUCAUCCAUCAACAAUUUUUCGAUAUAUACAAAUCCUCAAUUAUAUACAAAUCAUGUGAAUAACCCAUUACACUUAUUAUGCAUAAACUAUAUAUUAAGUACAACGAGUGGCUUCAUUAAAAUCAAAGUCGAAUAUCGAUUAUCACAUCAGGAGACAGAUAAAUUUCGAUGCUUCACGAUUGAAUUAAAAAAAUGCGAAAGGAAUGCAGUGCAUAGGCCCAUAGAAUUGAACCAUAAAACUAUUAUGAAUCAUUUGACAAAGCGCACAGUUCUAUUGCAGAGAACAGUCUCAUCAUCUCAUCAACUCGUCUUCAGUAAUGACGCACAAACGGGUCAUUUAAAUUAUGCGCAGAUCGGUCCAGUUACCAUAACACAUAACUCACGGAUUGAAUUAUUGUCCUCGCUCUCACUUUAGCAGCAUUAUG